rnacentral:lncRNA from 1 species
GAAAAACCCUAGCAGCCAUAAGCCUUCUUCCUCACCAUAUCAAGAAGCUCAAGAAUGGAUAAACCCUAGAAAACCAAGACAGCCGCCACCUCCAUCAGCAACCAAGCAGCUAUGGCCUAGCUCUUCAUCUCCCUCUCCAGUCCCAUCGCCCGCCACCAUCCAACACCAUGUUCACCAAGCUCCAAACGACCAUCUCCGUCGCACUACCGGAAAACGACUACGAACAUCACCUCCAGUCAUCAUACCCCACGUCCAAAUGACCAUUGCCUGCUGCCAUGAACGACCAUCGAGCAACUCCAGCUCAAACACAAAUCACCAGCGACCAGACCUCUUCAUCUCUCGCACAAAAGAGAACCGAACCAGACCUCAUCUUCACCCUACUCUUCGCCACUUGCCACCCAUACACGCAGACACAGUAGAGGGGAAACGGACGAGGGAACAGAGGUAAAAAAAAUUCACAUAUACACAUUUAGAAAUACACAGUCACGCAUAGAGAUUAGUUCACCCUCCCCCUCACUCACCCGUAUCCAGCAACACACACACACACAAGUUUAGGAUUCUUCUAAAAAUCGAACCAUACCUCAUCUUCACCCUACUCUUCGCCACUUGCCACCCAUACACGCAGACACAGUAGAGGGGAAACGGACGAGGGAACGGAGGUAAAAAAAGAAAACUCACACAUACACAUUUAGAGAUACACAGUCUCGCAUAGAGAUAGGUUCACCCUCCCCCUCACUCACCCGUAUCCAGCAACACACACACAAGUUUAGGAUUCUUCUAAAAAAUCAAAUUCGGGAAUUCAAUGUUACAAAGAAAAAUUGCACAACUCCGAAAGAUCUGAAAAUCAAGAAAAGAUUUCUGAAAAUCUAGAUUUCCAAGGGGUUCUUGAGGUCGAAAUUUGCUACCUGGUUGCUGAAGUUUUCUGGUCCCAUGCGAUUUCAGUUGAGGUUUUUCGGUCAAGGUCCUAUUCAUUUAAUAAGUUUUGCGAUUCGAAGCUAUUAAGGUUUGGAGUUUUCGGUUUUGGUUGCCGGUUUGUGUUUCGCUUGCGGUUUCGGAUUCCUCAUUGUCGUCUCCUUCGUUCGGAUCUUCAUGUUUGCAUUGCUGUUGGUAUCCGCUCGAAAUUCAGUGUAAAUUCGAUUCAAUUUUUCAAGGGAAAAUUGCUUCAAGCUAAAGGUUCAUCUCUCUUCCCUUAUAAUUGUUUCAAAUGAGUUUUAAUUAAAUCCCGUGAAUACUUGUUUGCCUUUAUUUGUUUGUUUGAUCGAUAUGAAUUGGUUUCCAUGAUCAAUAGUUUGAUUUCGCAUGCCAUGUUGAGUUGAAAUGAGAUUAAUGGUAUUAAGCUUGAUGGGUUGCGAGGUUAAUCACUAGAAACAAUCGUGGAUUUCGGGUAGAACAUUAAACUAUUGGGUUUUAACUUAUCUCCUAACCUCGUUUCUAUUUUAUCUAUUUGGGGCCGUUUGGAGCAUGGUUAGGCCGAUAUAUUUGGGUAGGCAAGCUUUAUAAUUUAGUUAGUUUUAAGGCAAGAGCUUGUUCCUUAGUUGAAUUUAUCCGGGGAAUGCCCCGUGAAGUUUGUAAAUAUUAUUAUCCGGGGUAUGCCCCGAAGAACUAUGUAUAUAUUUUGGAGGCCUUGACAAACACGGCGGAG